rnacentral:rRNA from 1 species
GCAGUGAUGUGGAGCGAAACUCAAAAAAAUAAGUCUCAGUUCGGAUUGAAGGCUGAAAUUCGCCUUCAUGAAGCCGGAAUUGCUAGUAAUGGCAGGUCAGCAUACUGCCGUGAAUACGUUCCCGGGCCUUGUACACACCGCCCGUCACACCAUGAGAGUUGGGAAUACCCGAAGCCUGUGAGCUAACAUUUAUGAGGCGGCAGUCGAAGGUAGAAUCAAUGAUUGGGGUGAAGUCGUAACAAGGUACC